GGUGAGUAACGCGUAAGGAACUUGCCUCUUGGACUGGGACAACUGUUGGAAACGACAGCUAAUACCGGAUAUUAUGAGAUUCUCGCAUGAGAAACUUAUGAAAGCUAUAUGCGCCAAGAGAGAGCCUUGCGUUCCAUUAGCUAGUUGGUGGGGUAACGGCCCACCAAGGCGACGAUGGAUAGCCGGCCUGAGAGGGUGAACGGCCACAAGGGGACUGAGACACGGCCCUUACUCCUACGGGAGGCAGCAGUGGGGAAUAUUGGACAAUGGGCCACAAGCCUGAUCCAGCAAUUCUGUGUGCACGAUGAAGGUCUUCGGAUUGUAAAGUGCUUUCAGUUGGGAAGAAGAAAGUGACGGUACCAACAGAAGAAGCGACGGCUAAAUACGUGCCAGCAGCCGCGGUAAUACGUAUGUCGCAAGCGUUAUCCGGAUUUAUUGGGCGUAAAGCGCGUCUAGGCGGAAAAAUAAGUCUGAUGUUAAAAUGCGGGGCUCAACUCCGUAUUGCGUUGGAAACUGUUUUUCUAGAGUACUGGAGAGGUGGGCGGAACUACAAGUGUAGAGGUGAAAUUCGUAGAUAUUUGUAGGAAUGCCGAUGGAGAAGUCAGCUCACUGGACAGAUACUGACGCUGA
rnacentral:rRNA from 1 species